rnacentral:rRNA from 1 species
UACGUAGGUGGCUAGCGUUGUCCGGAUUUACUGGGCGUAAAGAGCGCGCAGGCGGUCGUUCAAGUCGAGUGUGAAAGCCCCCGGCUCAACUGGGGAGGGUCAUUCGAUACUGAUCGACUCGAAGGCAGGAGAGGGAAGCGGAAUUCCCGGUGUAGUGGUGAAAUGCGUAGAUAUCGGGAGGAACACCAGUGGCGAAGGCGGCUUCCUGGCCUGUUCUUGACGCUGAGGCGCGAAAGCUAGGGGAGCAAACGGG